GUUACUAUUUAUUUUUCGUCGGUAUUUUUUUUUUUACACAUAUAUUUCCAAGAGAUUUAUCAUUUUAACAUCUAUAUAAAUAUAUUAUAAUAAUAAUAAUAUUAUAUUAAAAAUCGCAAUUCGAUAAAAUCUUACACGACCUUAUACACUAAACACAUUGGGUAUAUUAUAAUAUUAUUAUAAUAAUGAUAUCAAAUAAUAAUAUUAUUUUUAUUAUCGUAUAAAUAUUACAAUACUCGUUAUCACCUGUAUAUUAUCAUAUCUAUUAUAUUACAGUAAAGACAAUACAACAUUGAAAUAUGGUAUUGAUUUUUACAAGUAAUGUUUGUAUAAUUGUUAUUGUUCGCAAGACGAAGACAAUAACAGGUAAUAUUAUAUUAAUGUUAUAUUGUUAUAAUAAUGCAAUUAUGCGAUCGUCGCCAAUUGUUAUAAAUACAAACACAAUAAUAAUAUAAUAUUAUAAAUAGGUACAUCGAUAUUUUUUUUAUGCGUUACAAUAUUAUUACAACGUAAUUUUUUGUGCUACAUUUUAUUAUAUUAUUAAUAUUAAAUAUAUAUACUUAUAAGUAACAACUUAAGAAAAAAAAAAUAAAAAAAAAAAAAAAUAUAAUAAUAAUAAAAUAAUUGUACGCAUCAAUUCGAUUAUAAAAAGCACCAAUUACUAAAUCGUAAAAAAAUGCGUUUUUAUAAUAAAAAAUGAUUUUGAUUUUUUUACUCUAGCCAAUAUUAUAUAUAAAUAUUGUUAUUAUUAAUACUUAUUACAUAUAUAUAUAUAUGUAUUAUGUAAACGCGUCGUUGAUUUCUUGUAUACCGAAAUCGAAUAACCGUCAUAUAUUACACGAUAAAACCUAAUAAUAAUUUUAAAAAAAAAUAUGUGUUUGUAACAUGAUUUUAAAUACCGCGAAAUAUUCAAGUACCGAAUAAGUACCGAUUGUAAAUCGAAUGACGUUUUACCCAAAUAAGAAUCGCUGCCGAUCGUUUCUUAACGUCAUUUUUUUUAUAAUGUAAUACACCAUAAUACACAACGGCGGAUUUCUAACAUUUUUCCCGGGAGAAGUUCUGAAAAAUCAUAUUAUGUAUUUUGAUAAUUUUUUAUAUCAAUAGAUGCUUUUUUUUUUUUUUUGGACGACAUUUUAUUGAAAUUAUACCGGUGUCUGAGAGAGAGAAGAGUUUCC